CAGUCCCUACGGUGUUCGAGAGCGACAGUGUGUCUUGUGCCGAUAAGCAAAUGCUACGGAGAUUGAUCUUAGACUGGCGUGCAGGCUCGCAAGACGAGAAGCCCAAUGUUUGAUUGACGUCGCCACUUGAACUCAAAAGGUUCAAGAACCCCGUUCGCAACGGCACCGUGGGGCAUUU
rnacentral:other from 1 species